UUUUGUCAUGCCCUUUUAUAGCUAAAUUAGUGACAAAAAUAAGGUAGCAGCCUCAAAAUAGCUACUGUUAUGCUUUAUUUUUUUGCUUAAAGCCUUGAUAGACUUGACAAAUGGUAGAAAAAGAGUUCGUCAACAAGUCUUUAUUUCUAGUUGUUGAGCUGAAACAGUCUAUCCCCAGACUGUUUCACUCCCACCCCCGCACAGCUCAAACUGUCUGGGAGACAGUUUGAG
rnacentral:sRNA from 1 species